rnacentral:lncRNA from 1 species
CCGGGCCAGACCAUGGACAUCCCCUAGCAAGGCGGUUCAGAACUCUUGCCUCCUUUUGGCACGAUGGCCAGCAGGGAUCCAGAACGUUUCGUAAUGUGGGUGCUUUCCCCUCCCUGGUCCCACAUGUGUGCAAAGCACGACUGAGAAAUGAACUGUGUGGUCUGAAGUCACUGAGCUGUUGGGCCUGUUUGUCUCUGCAGUACAACCUAGCUUCUCCUGACCAUGGUGAAUCACACCUUCCUUUUACAGUGUUCCUUCCUGGAUUUCUGGCACAUAUCACAUCUGAACUCUGGAAACAGAGCCUCUUCCAGCUCAGCAAUCUACACUGCUUGUGGCAUCUUCUGUUAUGCAGCAUAACUGUGGCUGUCCUCACUAUUACAUGUUAAAUUC